GUGCAAUGAGGAUACAUGCACCCUCGUGAUGGUCGGGUCUAUCACUAUCAUCUGAGGAUAUGAUGAAAGUAAGGUCCAGCUGAGCUC